rnacentral:RNase_P_RNA from 1 species
AAACAGAUGAUCGCGGCCAUUCAGACGAAAGGGAAUGGGUGAGGAAAGUCCGGGCUUCACAGGGCAGGAUGCCGGAUAACGUCCGGUGGAGGUGACUCCAAGGCCAGUGCAACAGAGAUAUACCGCCAAAAUGAAGGCGGCGGAUCGGACGAAAGUCCGUAACGAGUAGCGUAAGCUACGAGUGACCGCCUCUUUCUGUUUUGGUAAGGGUGGAAAGGCAGUGUAAGAGACUACCGCCUCUAUGGUAACAUAGAGGGCACAUGUAAACCCCAUCCGAAGCAAGACCAAAAAGAAAGCAAUACAGUUGCCCGCUGUGCUUUCAGGUAGGUCGCUUGAAACUGUUGGUAACAGCAGUUCUAGAUAGAUGAUCAUCCAACGACAUAACCCGGCUUAUCGUUUCGCUCA